CUCAUUUUCAUAUACGAAUUGGAUCUAUUUUAUGUUGCUUUUCUUAUUACAUUGUGGAGACUGGAGAAUCUGGGGUAGUUGGUGACUUGGUGUAUAUAAUUUGGAAAUGUAAGAUCAUGAAUGUAUAUAUGUUGUCUUAGGGGGCAUUCGAUUGGCUGUGUUAUACAACAUAUAAAACUAAACGCCAAUAUUUGAAAUAUUAGAUCGUAACCACCGCAAAAUAUAAAGAAUCUUAGCCAGAAUUCAUGCAGAUCCAUACCCACUUUUGAACAAGUCGCCUUCCUUUUAGACCCCCUUCAUCGCCCUAUCCAAAUAUUCUACUGCUUAUCUCCGAUCAAUCUCCUUUAAACAUCCAUUAGUACUAGAAACAUUUCAUAUAGUUGGCAAGUUGGACACUUGGACUUGAAGAGAAUCUAUCAUAUUAAUUAGAAUAACAUAGUCACAUAUGUUGAAGUGUAAGAAUUCCCUACAAUUGUUGGACAAAUUGAACUAAAUAGCUGGAAUAUACUAAAAAGUUGCCUUCCCAUAUCUACUAACUACAAAACAUAGGAAAUGCUUCAGCCCUCUCCCUGUUCUUUUUUUCCAAUCACUCUAUUCCUGAUAGCUCAGAAUUUUGGUAUUAGGCGCUUCAAGUUAUAGUGUAAUUUAAUAAUUUAAACAACUUAUGUGAACAUAUCAACUAGUAUAUUAACAAAUAUGCGAACAAAUUAUAUGUUCUGCAACAUGUUUCUGAACCUUUCCUUAUAUACUACAUCAUCUAAAUAUACUUGUGCCUUUUGAUAUAGUUUAAUUUGUAAUGUGAAUUGCUUGAUGUGGUUUCUCUUUGUUGUUAUACUCCAUUUUUAGGUUGCAAACUACGGUGAAGGACUUUGUUGGGUGUUGCUUUACUUUCUAAAAGAUUGUGAAAAAAGAGAAUGAUAAGUGAGAAACAAAAAGAGGUGGAAAUGGUGGUGAUUCAAAUAAGAUAGAAUUAUUAUUCUAUUGUUGCUGUUAAGUCUCUCAUUUUUCAUAUGAAAACUGUUGGUUUUUACUUAAGUUAGUGUAGCAUGUCAGCUCUAUGUUAUUGAAACUCACUCUAAUUAGCAAAUUCAUACAUUUACACUAUAAUAUGUGUAGUUGAAUGCCAUAAUUUAUCUUAUCAUGAUUAAUCAACCAAAGAUAAACGUUUUUGAUUUUAUUGCAAAUGAUUAUUAUGCAGUUUUGGGUCUGGUAAUAAUAAAAAUCUCGAAUUCAAAUUUAUUUAGUUAAUCUUGAUGUAUUAGGAUUUCCCAAUUUGUCUGUAUUUUUUUGUGUCUUCUAUUAUGCUGUCAUAAAAAAAAAUUAUAAAAAAAUUGAGACGUAUGGGUUAGUCUACUUUCAAGAAAUUGUGCUUGCUUUAGGCUCUUUUGUUAUCAUGCAGAUUCCUUUCAUUUUAGUGACAAGAGAUACAUCAUUGGCCGUUGGAUUUGGCAAAUAUGUAGGAAACUAUUACUACUAUAGAACAAGGUAUGCAUUGAGGCUGUGAAUCACAAGCUGAGUCGAGGAGAUGAGAACGCCAUGGGAGCCGAGGAGACGUUGGUGGACCGGACGAAACCAUUCCUCACAGACGUCCACAGCUGCUCCCAGAAUCUGACCUCGAGCUGUGAAUCAUAAGUUGAGUCCUCAUAGGCAUUGAGGCAGUCGAGGUAGAGUAGGAGAUGCAUUUAUAUUGAUGUAUUUGAAAAUAUGUUGGGAGAUGCAAUUUUUGUUGUGUAUUUAGAAAUAUGGUGGAAAUACAAGUGAUGGUGUAAAUACAAUGAGGAGAUCUGCCUUUUUUAUGUUGUGUACCUCUUGUUACUACAUACGAAAUGAAAGAGAUCAUUACAAUUUAAAUUCUCAACUUUG
rnacentral:lncRNA from 1 species